AUGAACGCUAGCUACAGGCUUAACACAUGCAAGUCGCGGGGCAGCAUGAAGGAUGCUUGCAUCUUUUGAUGGCGACCGGCGCACGGGUGAGUAACGCGUAUCCAACCUGCCUGUUACCACGGCACAGCCCGUCGAAAGGCGGAUUAAUGCCGUAUGUGGUCCUUUGCGGGCAUCUAAUUAGGACUAAAGGUUCAGCGGUAACGGAUGGGGAUGCGUCCGAUUAGCUAGACGGCGGGGUAACGGCCCACCGUGGCUACGAUCGGUAGGGGUUCUGAGAGGAAGGUCCCCCACACUGGAACUGAGACACGGUCCAGACUCCUACGGGAGGCAGCAGUGAGGAAUAUUGGUCAAUGGGCGUAAGCCUGAACCAGCCAAGUAGCGUGAGGGAAGACUGCCCUAUGGGUUGUAAACCUCUUUUGUGCGGGGAUAAAGUGUGGGACGUGUCUCAUAUUGCAGGUACCGCACGAAUAAGGACCGGCUAAUUCCGUGCCAGCAGCCGCGGUAAUACGGAAGGUCCGGGCGUUAUCCGGAUUUAUUGGGUUUAAAGGGAGCGCAGGCCGUCCUUUAAGCGUGCUGUGAAAUGCCGCGGCUCAACCGUGGCACUGCAGCGCGAACUGGAGGACUUGAGUACGCACGAGGUAGGCGGAAUUCGUGGUGUAGCGGUGAAAUGCUUAGAUAUCACGAAGAACUCCGAUUGCGAAGGCAGCUUACCGGAGCGCAACUGACGCUGAGGCUCGAAAGCGCGGGUAUCGAACAGGAUUAGAUACCCUGGUAGUCCGCGCGGUAAACGAUGGAUGCCCGCCGUUGGGAUUUGGAUUUCAGCGGCCAAGCGAAAGCGUUAAGCAUCCCACCUGGGGAGUACGCCGGCAACGGUGAAACUCAAAGGAAUUGACGGGGGCCCGCACAAGCGGUGGAGUAUGUGGUUUAAUUCGAAGCAACGCGAAGAACCUUACCAGGCCUUGACAUCCCUUGCAGAGGUAUAGAGAUAUAUCCGAGGUUAUCAAGGAGACAGGUGGUGCAUGGUUGUCGUCAGCUCGUGUCGUGAGAUGUUGGGUUAAGUCCCGCAACGAGCGCAACCCUUAUCUUCAGUUACUAACAGGUGAUGCUGAGGACUCUGGAGAGACUGCCGUCGUAAGAUGUGAGGAAGGUGGGGAUGACGUCAAAUCAGCACGGCCCUUACGUCCGGGGCUACACACGUGUUACAAUGGGGCAUACAGCGAGUUGGAUGUGCGCAAGUACGUCCGGAUCAAUAAAGUGCCUCUCAGUUCGGACUGGGGUCUGCAACCCGACCCCACGAAGCUGGAUUCGCUAGUAAUCGCGCAUCAGCCAUGGCGCGGUGAAUACGUUCCCGGGCCUUGUACACACCGCCCGUCAAGCCAUGAAAGCCGGGGGCGCCUGAAGUCCGUGACCGCGAGGGUCGGCCUAGGGUGAAACCGGUGAUUGGGGCU
rnacentral:rRNA from 1 species